AUAUUUCCUAGCUAUCAUUUUCAGACUAGUCAUCUCCUCAGUACGUUUCUUACCAUUUUUAGUUUUGUGCCGGCCAUUGUUGAGCACAUAUUCUCUAUUUGAGUUGGAUUAUAAUGUUUGUCACUUUGUAAAGAGUCAUCGAUCUAUGGCUUUCAUUGCAGUAAUCACUUUCAGUCUAUAGCCAUCUCCUCAGUUUCUUACCAUUUUUAGUUUUGUGCCGGCCAUUGUUGAGCAUAUAUUCUCUAUUUGUGUGUGAUUAUAUUUGUCACUUUGUAAAGAGUCAUCAAUCUAUGGCUUUCAUUGCAGUAAUUGCAGUCACUUUGGUUGUAGCUUUCCUCCUUUCGAAGAUUCUGUCGAAGGGUCGCCGGGACAGCAAAAAUCUCCCGGGAGGUUCUCUGGGGUAUCGAUUCCCUAAUAGGAGAGACAUUAAGCUUUCUUCAAGCGCAGAAGCAAGAUCGAGGUCCUCAAUGGCUGGAAGAAAGAACAGCAAAACAUGGGCCAGUGUUCAAAACAUGUUUGAUGGGUUCCCCAACUGUGAUUGUUAUAGGUCAAGAAGGGAACAAGUUUAUACUUGGUGCUGAAGAUGAUGUUCUUGCUGCCAAACAACCUCCCACCUUGUUAGCCAUUGGAGGAAAACAGAGUAUAUUUGAACUUACAGGAUCAUGGUACAGGUUGGUAAAGGGAGCAAUGGUGAGCUUCUUGAAGCCUGAAAGUCUUCAAAACUACAUCAACCAGAUGGACAAAUUAAUCAAGACCAUGUUACUAAAAGAAACAGAAAACAAAGACACCAUAAAGGCUGUGGUCACCAUGAAGAAGCUUACAUUUAACAUAGCAUCAAGCAUCCUUUUUGGUAUCAAGGAUGAGAACACCGGGGGGGGGGGGGGGGGGGGGUGGUCUUGUUUGAGGACUUUUCAUUAGCCUUCAAAGCAACUUGGUCUCUUCCUAUUAAUUUCCCUGGCACUGUUUAUCGGCGAGGCCUAAGAGCUAGGGCAAGAAUUGUGGAUUCAAUUUUGCCAAUACUAAAGGAGAGAAGGGAGGAAAUUUCAAAGGGGAAUUUAAGCCCUACAAGUGAUGUGUUUUCUAGCAAUCUAGCUUUGAGAGAUGAAAACCAAGAACCAGUUUCUGAUGAUCUGAUUAUGGAUAAUUAUGUCACCUUGAUGAUAGCCAGUCAUGACACAACAGCCAUUCUUCUGAUAUGGAAGCUGUCCACGGACUCCGAGAUCUACAAAAAAGUUUUACAAGAACAAAUAGACAUUAUAAGUGAGAGAGAGGGAGAAGAAGAUAGGCUAACAUGGCAGGAGAUACAAAGUUACAAACGAUGAAAUACACAUGGAGAGUUGCACAAGAGUUGAUGAGGAUGAUUCCUCCUGUGUUUGGAAGCUUUAGAAAAAUACUCAAAGACACUCAAUAUGGUGGCUAUGACAUUCCCAAAGGAUGGCAGGUGUUUUGGGCGGCCUAUGGAACUCACAUGAACAAAGAAGUAUUUGACAAACCCACAGUGUUUGAUCCAUCGAGAUUUGAAAACUCAACAAAGCAAAUUCCUCCCUAUGCGGCUAUAUAUGUUUAUAUUCCAUUUGGAGCAUUCACACUUGCCCUGGAAACGAGUUUGCUAGAGUUGAAGUCCUCACAACCAUCCACAAUUUGGUGACAAUGUUUGAGUGGUCACAGGUGUACCCUGAGGAAAAGAUAACCCGUCAACCAAUGCAUUAUCCAUCCAUGGGUCUCCCAAUCAAGAUCAAACCAAGAAUUCCUAAAUUUGUAUAAGACUUUCUAUGCCACAGUACUUCUUGGUUGUUGAUGAUUUUUUUUUUUUUUUUUUUU